CAAUAGCGUAUAUUAACGUUGUUGCAGUUAAAAAGCUCGUAGUUGGAUUUCUGGAGGGAGCGUCGGCCCGUAUUUACGAGUGCGUGACGUCUCUGUCCAUCCUUGCGGGAAGGCACGGCAUUGAUUUGUUGUGUCGGAUCGCAUCAUUUACUGUGAAAAAAUUAGAGUGUUCAAAGCAGGCUUUCGCUUGAAUACAUUAGCAUGGAAUAAUAAGAUAGGACUUUGGUGCUAUUUUGUUGGUUGAGCCUAAAGUAAUGAUUAAUAGGGAUAGUUGGGGGCACCUGUAUUGCGUUGUCAGAGGUGAAAUUCUUGGAUUUACGCAAGACAAACAGCUGCGAANGNGUCUGCNAAGGAUGUUUNCGUUA
rnacentral:rRNA from 1 species